rnacentral:rRNA from 1 species
AUAUCAGUCAUGCAUAGCAUAUCAAUAAGCGGAGGAAAAGAAACUAACAAGGAUUCCCUUAGUAACGGCGAGUGAAGCGGGAAGAGCUCAAAUUUGAAAUCUUCAAGGUUUUACCUUGACGAAUUGUAGUUUAAAGAAGUGUUUUCUGUUGAAGUUUUGGUAAAAGUUCUUUGGAAUAGGACAUCAUAGAGGGUGAGAAUCCCGUAUUUGACCAUUACUUUCAGCUUUGUGAUACACUUUCAAAGAGUCGGAUUGUUUGGGAAUGCAGUCCAAAAUGGGUGGUAAAUUUCAUCUAAAGCUAAAUAUUGGCGAGAGACCGAUAGCGAACAAGUACCGUGAGGGAAAGAUGAAAAGAACUUUGAAAAGAGAGUUAAACAGUACGUGAAAUUGUCAAAAGGGAAGCGUUUGACACCAGUGUUGUUUUCUCGAAAAUCAAUUAAAAAGAGUUGGAUUUUGUGUUGUAUUGACUUUAUCAGGCUUUCUUCACUCUCUUUCCAGCUUUUUUUAAUGCACUUUUCGUUUGAACAAGUCAACAUCAGUUUCUUUUGUUGUAAAAAGGUCAUUGGAAGGUGGCUUUCUCUUCGGAGAAAGUGUUUAUAGCCUUUGACUCAUGCAAUCGGAGAGACUGAGGUCUGCAGCGUAGAUCCUUCGGGGUUAGAUACAUUUGUGCUAAGUUAUAGCUUUUCAUAGACAACUUGUUGACUAUGUUUAGUCUUGUAGCUUACUCGCUUAUGCUAUUUUACCUACGCUUAGGAUGUUGAACUCUAUCACACACA